rnacentral:rRNA from 1 species
GACGAACGCUGGCGGCGUGCUUCACACAUGCAAGUCGAACGGAAAGGCCCUGCUUUUGUUGGGUGCUCGAGUGGCGAACGGGUGAGUAACACGUGAGUAACCUGCCCUUGACUUUGGGAUAACUUCAGGAAACCGGGGCUAAUACCGGAUAGGAGCUCCUGCUGCAUGGUGGGGGUUGGAAAGUUUCGGCGGUUGGGGAUGGACUCGCGGCUUAUCCGCUUGUUGGUGGGGUAGUGGCUUACCAAGGCUUUGACGGGUAGCCGGCCUGAGAGGGUGACCGGCCACAUUGGGACUGAGAUACGGCCCAGACUCCGACGGGAGGCAGGAGUGGGGAAUAUUGCACAAUGGGCGGAAGCCUGAUGCAGCAACGCCGCGUGCGGGAUGACGGCCUUCGGGUUGUAAACCGCUUUCGCCUGUGACGAAGCGUGAGUGACGGUAAUGGGUAAAGAAGCACCGGCUAACUACGUG